rnacentral:lncRNA from 1 species
GGGGAGAUGGCAAAUACUAAACAAAAGACUAGUCUUAGUGUCAUUGAGUUUCCUUUUGAGUUUGGGCUUGUGCAUUACCAUGUUUUACCGUGCUUGCAUAUUUCCUCUCUACGUUAGUUGAGAUGCUACUAUACUACAACUUUGUGUAUUAACAUUUCCUCACCCAGUCCAUGAUCAGUCCCUAGGAAAAGCAGAUAUUGGCUUACCUAUGUUGUGAACUCCCA